GACCUGUAGAACCUUUUCAAUGGUAGC
rnacentral:piRNA from 1 species